CCCUAGUGCAGAGUAUUUUCAAAAAAAUGCUGAAACCAUCACUCGUACUUAUAGGGAUACUCUGAGCAUCAUAGACAUACAGUGCACUGUAGUGAUUUUGGUGGCAGAAGUUCCCUGGCAAUUUUAGACCGUAAGUUUUCACCUGUUUACAGUUUUCCACCUGCCUGUCUGGUACCAACAGUCAUUCUGGUCUGUAUACACUCCCAGC